rnacentral:rRNA from 1 species
CCUACGGGUGGCAGCAGUGGGGAAUAUUGCACAAUGGGGGAAACCCUGAUGCAGCGACGCCGCGUGAGUGACGAAGUAUUUCGGUAUGUAAAGCUCUGUCAUCAGGGAAGAAAAUGACGGUACCUGACCAAUAAUCCCCGGCUAACUACAUACCAGCAGCCGCGGUAAUACGUAGGGGCCAAGCGUUAUCCGGAUUGACUGGGUGUAAAGUGAGCGUAGACGGGAGGGCAAGUCUGGAGUGAAAGGCGGGGGCUCAACCCCCGAACUGCUCGGGAAACUGCCAGGCUGGAGUGCAGGAGAGGUAAGUGGAAUUCCUAGUGUAGCGGUGAAAUGCGUAGAUAUUAGGAGGAACACCAGUGGCGAAGGCGGCUUACUGGACUGUAACUGACGUUGAGGCUCGAAAGCGUGGGGAGCAAACAGGAUUAGAUACCCCUGUAGUC